rnacentral:rRNA from 1 species
GUUGAACGCUGGCGGCAUGCCUAACACAUGCAAGUCGAGCGGAUAGAUGGAGCUUUCUCCUGUAUUCAGCUGCGGACGGAUGAGUAAUUCCUACGAGUCUACCUUAUAUUUGAGAACGAGGUCCCUUAGCGAGCGCUGAUACCACAUACGUCCUUAUGUUGAACCGGAGGGUUCUUCGGACCUCGCGCGAUCUGAUGAGCCUUGGUCGGAUUAGCUAGUUGGUUUGGUAAAGGCGUACCAAGGCGACGAUCCGUAACGGAGCUGAGAGGAUGAUCAGCCACACUGGAACUGAGACACGGUCCAGACUCCUACGGGAGGCAGCAGUGGGGAAUAUUGGACAAUGGGCGAAAGCCUGAUGCAGCAACGCCGCGUGAGUGAUGAAGGUCUUCGGAUUGUAAAGCACUUUAAGUUGGGAGGAAGGAAAGUAAGUGAAUCCAUGGAUGUUUUGACGUUACCAAAACAAUAAGCACCGGCUAACUUCGUG